GACAGCUAUGACUGUCUGCAGACUGUCAUACCUGUGCACAGGUGCAAGUUUACCUGGAAUGUGGUUGUUUAAUUUAACUUUCAUCAGAAAUAAGUUGUUUGCAGCUAACUGCAUUCUGCUGUCCAGUCAGGGAGCAUCCAGCAUACAUACAAACAAUUUGUUAUUGUCUGUAAACAACCUGUACAGUUAACACUCCUUAGUGACAUGUAAAUAGGUUUGAUGUAUGAAUACAUCUUUAUUAGCAACCACUCAUAGUUUGACAUGUGGGUCUAUUAUACUCUGAUCAGUGAUCUCAGAACAAUGGAGGUGUGUUUUGGACACACUCAUCAGUAUGGCACACAUGUCUCAGUUUUAAAGUUUUUAAUCAUCACAUGUGAUAAAAUGUUAAGAAAGAGACUACAUGAAAAAGUUAGUGUGUAGGUUUUUAAUGAGGUGGAAUAGAAGCUCUUUAGUGUUAGCAAUUCAAAUUGCUGUUUAGAUAUUUCUUUCCUCCCUCUGCAGAUGCUUUCUUCCUUUGCAGGCUGAUGGUCUGUGGCCUGCUUUCUUCUGUCUUCCAGCACACUCCAUGUCUUCCCUCUGCAGAUGUUUGGAGCUCUGUCUUGUCUGCAGAAUCUGUCUUGUCUAACUGAGUGUUGUGCUUACAAAGUCACACCCUCCUCCCCCCCCUGCCCCCACUAAACAAUACAUAAAGCAACCUGAUUGGUCUGCUUGACCAUGACAUCACACAGCUGGUGCUGCACAGAUAAUAAAUACUGCAGAAUUUUCUAUACUUUCAUCCCAAGACUCUCACUCCCUUUCCAAGGACUUCUUUUUUUUUUGGAAAAUGGCAGCAGAAGCCGACAAAUGCUGGACGCAUACUACAUGUGGAUCCGCCCGGGUCAAGAUAAUGAAGACAGGCUGUUUUUGUCCUCAGCGGGCACAAAGGUCAGGAGUGCGGGCAAUGACGUCACUCGUCUGCACGCACACUACAAACUGCCGGACAUCAAGAGCCAGGAAAUUCGUAGGACCGUGGAGACAGAUGCUGCUGCCAACUUCACGGAGGAGCAGAAGGCGUCUGUGGCACACUACAUGGCCCAUUCGACUGCUGUGGCAAACCAGCACUACCGGAUGAAGACCCUGGACACUGUUGUGGCGACCGCGAACCUGCUCAGCUCCCUGACACGAUGUUGACUUCCGUGCUGCGCUGAUCCUGCUGCCCUACAUCUUUAAAGAGAAGGUCGACCAGUUCAUCACAUUGGGACAGUGUGACGCUGAAAGUCCCUACCCAGCUGUACAGCUGGUAGACAACGACUGGAAGAUGGCAUUUUCCUGGAAGGUUCCAGUUUCUGUCAGAGUGGAUGGUGUGGAUCUGUGCAGGGGAGCAGGAGUUGAAGAGGGAUUAAUUGCAGCCUUCUGUGCCUACUUUGUUUUCAACUUGGCUUACCCACCCUACAUGAAAAAUACGCUGACCUUCCUCCAGCGUACUAUGAACAUUUACUGAGGUCGGUGAAAAGUCCCUACCCGUCACUGUGACUCGAAUGAUAAACAUUCUCUAUUAAAGAUGCCACGACCAUAUAAAUGUUAAUAUCACAUGUGGACUUCAUGACUGCAAGUCAACUUUUAGAGUAUAUGAAUCGUUCAGGCGUCAUGUGUACCGUAAACAUAGGGAGCAUGUGCUGCCUGAUAGCGAUGAA